rnacentral:rRNA from 1 species
GGAUCCAGACUUUGAUCCUGGCUCAGGAUGAACGCUAGCUACAGGCUUAACACAUGCAAGUCGAGGGGAAACGAUAUUGGAAGCUUGCUUCCGAUAGACGUCGACCGGCGCACGGGUGAGUAACGCGUAUCCAACCUGCCCAUCAUUUGGGGAUAACCUUGCGAAAGUAAGACUAAUACCCAAUGAUAUCUCUAGAAGACAUCUGAAAGAGAUUAAAGAUUUAUCGGUGAUGGAUGGGGAUGCGUCUGAUUAGCUUGUUGGCGGGGUAACGGCCCACCAAGGCGACGAUUAGUAGGGGUUCUGAGAGGAAGGUCCCCCACAUUGGAACUGAGACACGGUCCAAACUCCUACGGGAGGCAGCAGUGAGGAAUAUUGGUCAAUGGGCGAGAGCCUGAACCAGCCAAGUAGCGUGCAGGAUGACGGCCCUAUGGGUUGUAAACUGCUUUUAUAAGGGAAUGAAGUGAGCCUCGUGAGGCUUUUUGCAUGUACCUUAUGAAUAAGGACCGGCUAAUUCCGUGCAGCAGCCGCGGUAAUACGGAAGGUCCGGGCGUUAUCCGGAUUUAUUGGGUUUAAAGGGAGCGUAGGCCGGAGAUUAAGCGUGUUGUGAAAUGUAGAUGCUCAACAUCUGCCUGCAGCGCGAACUGUUUUCCUUGUGUACGCACAAAGUGGGCGGAAUUCGUGGUGUAGCGGUGAAAUGCUUAGAUAUCACGAAGAACUCCGAUUGCGAAGGCAGCUCACUGGAGCGCAACUGACGCUGAAGCUCGAAAGUGCGGGUAUCGAACAGG